UACGUAGGGGGCAAGCGUUGUCCGGAAUCAUUGGGCGUAAAGAGCGUGUAGGCGGCCCGAUAAGUCCGCUGUGAAAGUCCAGGGCUCAACCCUGGAAUGCCGGUGGAUACUGUCGGGCUCGAAUCCGGAAGAGGUGAGUGGAAUUCCUGGUGUAGCGGUGAAAUGCGCAGAUAUCGGGAGGAACACCGAUGGCGAAGGCAGGUCUCUGGGCAUUAACUGACGCUGAGGAGCGAAAGCAUGGGGAGCGAACAGG
rnacentral:rRNA from 1 species